rnacentral:rRNA from 1 species
GGUUAAGCGACUAAGCGUACACGGUGGAUGCCCUGGCAGUCAGAGGCGAUGAAGGACGUGCUAAUCUGCGAUAAGCGCCGGUAAGGUGAUAUGAACCGUUAUAACCGGCGAUUUCCGAAUGGGGAAACCCAGUGUGAUUCGUCACACUAUCAUUAACUGAAUCCAUAGGUUAAUGAGGCGAACCGGGGGAACUGAAACAUCUAAGUACCCCGAGGAAAAGAAAUCAACCGAGAUUCCCCCAGUAGCGGCGAGCGAACGGGGAGGAGCCCAGAGCCUGAAUCAGCAUGUGUGUUAGUGGAAGCGUCUGGAAAGGCGCGCGAUACAGGGUGACAGCCC